rnacentral:ribozyme from 14 species
UUAUUUUUUCCUUUCUUCUUCUGUUUUUCAUUUUUAAUUAUUGUUAUUGUGUUUGUCGACAGUGGUAUUAUUAUACAGCAGAGGUUGUCCACUCAUCUCAGGAUCAGCACACCUCGAUUAAGAAAAAUGGAUCAACGAAGAUUAUUGAUGACUGACUGGAUUUUUUUAAACUCUGUGAUCACCUGGACUUGUUUAAGACAACAACAAAUAUAAACACAAUCAGUGGGUAUAUUCUUCAA